GGGAGGCAAAUCCUGAUCGAUAGUUCAGGGAAAGCGAGCCAGCACUUCCUAGAGCACAUCGAUGAAGUGACUCUGGACGAUAUUACGUCGGUCGCGCAGAAGAUGUUGUCCUCAUGCCCUACCAUGGCGAGCUGGGGAGAUGUCGACAAGGUGCCUACUCAUGAAUACGUCUGCAAGCGGAUCGAGUCGCCCCUGAGUGACCUCAUGUGUGCGCUAAAAAGCUUAUUUUCUUGACGCUAGAUCACGUACAAUAGGUCCAUGGCUGGAGCUACCGUGCUGACCAGAGACUCAGCCUGUU